GAACGAUCUAUUCCGUCCGAAGGAGUUAUUCUCUACUCUGUGUGGCCAUCCACGAAAUAGGGUUCGACAACAGCACGAUAUCUCUCUUGGGGGUAUGCUCUCGGAGGCUCUCGGAGGCUCCAGCGCUUCUGCUUGCACGGAGAAGUGUUUUGGACUCGCACUGACGUCAGCGCUCGCCCCCAGCGCAGAGUGCGUCACCGCGUUGCACCAGUGUAGCGUGGAUUGUUCGAAGCUCCUCAGUCUUCUGGCUGCUGCGGGUUUCCCGUCCGGAACUUGUUUCAUCGUGAACAACAUCGCGAUCCACAAAUCCUUUGUCGAAUAGAGUGGCGUGCGCUUUCGUGUUCAGCGGGCAGAGCACCUGCCGCAGACUUACCCGGAAUAAGCUGUCGAUCACAGGGUACGGUACCGGGCGCGUGGAUGGAGGACGGCACUUGCGGGAUGGUUCUGUACCCAGCACGUGCAUGUGCUGUGAGCGUUGGGGCAAGCGUUCACGCGCCACAGGGCGGCGCUCAGAGGAGGAAGCGUAUUGGACAAACAGGAAAAGCGUGACCAUUACCAAGAGUCGCUGCUGCGAAGGGCGUAUCGAUGCUGCUCUGGAGAGAAAAUGGAGAUGGCAGACAAAGCGAAGAUCGCAACUUUUGCCUGGGCAUGGCAUGCGUUGGCACCAGCCUGAGACGGCGAAAUCGGGACUUUAAUGCUGGCAUCAAUAUCCGUCGAGCUCUGACGACAGAUCUUGAGGGAGGUGAUCGACCGGCGUAUUUAAAGUCGUAGCUACGAGAAAUCUAAUGGAAGCAGUCACAGAGAAUCCGCCAAGGCUGGUGUUGAUGACUGCGGAAAGGGACAGAAACUUGAAUAUGCAAACCAGAAUUGUCCAGAUAGGACUCGUUUCAUACUUAUGGAGCAUAGGUUUAGUGGUAUAUUCAGAGACGGAUUUCUCUCUGUACAAAAUUCUCAAACUCCUCUCUGUCGAUUCUGUUGUCUCCGUUGGUGUCGGCUAGUCUAAUCAUCGCUGUGAUGUCGCUGUCAGUCAUUUGUUCAGCCUCUUGUUGCCCCAUUUGACACAUGAUUGCCCUCAUGAGCUGGCGAGGUGUAAUAAAACGUUGAUCAUUGCGAAGUUCAUCGAAAACGAAGGUGACCUCCGAUGCUUUCAACUUUUUCGCACUGUCAGCGGGCUUUUUUUUCAGAGAAGCUGCCUCUGUUUUCACGGUUGCGGCAGCUGCAGUGGGCUGUUCAAGCUCUCUUACGCCAUUUCCGCGAACAGCUCUCUUGCCGUUCACUGCGCUUCCGCUAACUUGGGUUUGCUUACGCUUCCGCGUGGCUGACCGGUCGUGCUCCCCACUGGUCUCGUCCGCGCUCUCUGCGUCGCUUCGCUUCCAGCUCGUGUCCGAAUCAGAGAGAGCCUCUGUUGAUUCGCUGCUGCAACGCCGCAAGUUGUGGUCUUGCGCGCCCCCAGUGCGGGCCAGGCUUCGAGGUGCAUCAGUGCCGGCGCGUGCGGAGGCUCUGCUCGAGCGCACUGUGGAAGAGCCUCCUUUGCCAUGCGUUGUCACCGUCUUGCUCCUUCCGUCGCUCGUUGAAGCGUGCUUUAUGCGAGGCAUCAAAGCGUGAAAAGUCCUUCACUUGAAAUACGCAAGCUCGUCCGAGUCAGCAAGAGAAGACACUUUAACGUUUUCAACUGUUAUGCGCCGGCGUCUGUGUGGCAAACCUUUCGGGCAUGGCCACGUUUUCUUUGCAGAGAGGGUACAUAUACCGCUGUACGUCCGCUAGCAUGAAUGAAAUUUGCUUUUCCCGUCUGCUGUAAUAACGACUUGAUGCAUGUCGCGGCCGCGUCUCCUUUUCGCUGCUCCUUGCCACCGGAUAUGAAAGAGCCAGUCUUAGGGGAAAAGGGCCAAGUCUGCGUUUGCAUCACACGAGCUUCGCACAACUUAUGCGAUGCUCUGAUGCAAUGCUGCAACAUCGAUACGAGUGAGGUCACAAGUGCGACUCUCCGGGUGAAUAUGAGCGUAAUAAAGAACUUCGUCGACCAUCCAAUUGUCGAGCCCAGCGAUGAAGCGCUGGCCCAAAAGCAACGAUUUGAUAUUCGCUUUCGGGUACACUAACAUUUUCCUUUCGAAGCGCUCAAUAGGAGGGAGCGCAUGCAGCGCAUCGAAGCCUCCUAUGAGGCUUCGAAUCUCGACAGAAGGACACGACGAGUCGCUGAGGCGCAUCCUCGUAACCUUUCGCGGGUCGACCAGCGCGAACUCUCGGACAGAGAUACCGUUUAUACUGGCAGAAUCUACUCCUGGGGAGCAGGGAGCAAAACUAAAAACAA
rnacentral:misc_RNA from 1 species